UGAGGGACCACGCAUGCCCAGGCUGACCUGCCAGUCUCCAGUCUUAGUGUACCCGAGUGGACCAGGGGCACUUACCACUGAGCCACGCCCCCAGCCCUCGUGAUUUAGAGACAGGGUCUCCCUGGGUGCCUCAGGGUCUCACUAAGUUGCUGAGGCUGGCUUUGAACUCACAAUCCUCCUGCCUCAGCCUCCCAAGCAGGAUGACAGGGUGAGCCUCUGCGCUGGCCCUGUGUCCAGUCCCGCUGGCUGCCCGCCCCAGGAGAGCUGCUUCCGCUCAGAUGCUCGCUGCUUCUCUUGCCCCGCGGUCCCUGUCUCACACAGGUCAACUUCUUUGCCCAGGUGACUGGGGCCCACAGGACCAGCAGCCAGAAAGACACGCCCAAGUCCUAGCCAAGGGUGGACGGGAGACCUGGUUACAGGAAGUGACCGUGGAGGUGGAGCAGUGUGGUGUGGCCGGCAGUGCUGGGCAGUCGUGAGCUCUUCUCAUUUAUUUCUCCAACCCCUCGCACGCAGGUGGAGCUAACAGAAUGUGGGCAGCAGGGGUGUCGCCUCUCUGCAGGGACAGGCCACUGGCAUCUCCUGUGCACGAUCCUUCUCUGUUGGGAGCCUGGCAUGAGGCCCGCCAUGCCCUGAGGGGAGCCUGGGUCCCUGAAUGGCCGUGGGGAGUGGAAGCCCUGCCCCCCACCCAUGGGCUUCCUGGCUCAGCCACUGAAGUUGGGGUGCGUCAUCCGUGGCCACAACGGAGUGGAUGCUCUGUGAGCCCCGGCGCUGCCCGUGCGCGGUCGCAUGCAGCCUCUGAGGGCCCCUGGUGGGCUCCGGCUGGGGUCUCCGCACCCUGUACUCUAAGUGUCUCGGCAUCAGAUCCCCGGAUGGGGAGAUCCUACCCUUCCUCAUAUUAGGGGAUGGAGAAGAACAUCUGCAGAAAACUGGCCCAGCCGCAGGCCCCAGCCUGGUGUCCACCCCACCUUAGCUGAAGCCCUUGCUGGGGUGGCCCGUGGGUCCCUGAACGUGACACACCUAGUCACUCCGUGAUUCAUUCAUUCAGCAAGUUUUUCCUGGACGGUUCCUUCUGUCUUCCACUGGUCACUGAGUCCCUGCCCUGUGUUGGCCUCAAGUUAGCCCCAACCCUCGGAGGCCUGGUUCAUGGAGGGGGACGCUGUGAGGCCUGGGCUGAGUCAGGGCGGGUCCGCUCCUGCAGGAUCCUUAGCUGCGGGACCGAGAGGGAGCUGUGCAGAGUGCGCAGCGUGUAUGUGCGCGCAGGCCUACAAAAAAUAAACAAAUAAACAUCCACGUGCCCAAGAAAUAAGACAUUACCGAUGUGCCCUGCUGGGGCUUGACUCUAGAAUGUUCCCCAGAGAGCCAGGUGGUGAAAGACGCCGUCCCCAGUCUCUGGUGCUGUCGGGAGGUGGCAGAACCUUGGCGAGAUGCCGUGAGGUAGACAGGCCUCCUCCGCCAUGUCUGCCCGCCAUGAGGCACUGUGCUGCCACAGGCCCAAAGCAAGAGGCCAAGGGACCGUGACCUGAAACCACUGAAACUGUGAACCAAAUAAACCUUUCCUCUUUUUAA